rnacentral:lncRNA from 1 species
UAUAUACACAUUUGCAUAUAUAUAUGUAUAUAUAUGAUGAUGAUGAUAUAUAUAUAUACAUAUAUGCCUAAAAAUGCUUGGUGACAUAACUUUUGGAUUAUAUGCUUAAAAACUGACCUUUACAUUUUCCAUAGAUGUGGUAUCUUCUUCAGUAAAAGAUGACCCAAACUCAUUGCAUGUAUGCCUCAAGACAAAAGUGACCCCUCUCUCCUCCCAUAUCUAGAACCGACUUGUUCAGCUUUGCUUGUAUACAUCAGAUCUCUUAACUUUGUACUGAGUGAAUCGACAAGCAAAAAACACACACACGACCAGAGUACCAUUCCUCCCAUAUUGCAUACAAUUUUUCAAAUUUAUGCCACUCACAUACCAUCUUGUCCUUCCACGUUAUUAUUUUUGAUAGUUACUCUUCAGAAAAGUUGCAGAUGACCACCUCACACUGUCCAGGGUGACAUCACUUCAACCAGCUGGUUUGUGACACACCAGACUGACCAGCUAUUUUCUUUUGGUAAUUCUUCUCUUAUUCUGCCUUUCUCUUGCACUCUCUCAAGGCCAUCUGUGUGUAUGUAAUAUGUUUUUAGAUAUGAAAUGAGUGUGUUUUAAGAAGCAGGGCUGAGAUGCCUUCUCUUUUUCCCUCACUUUUGUUCCCAUUGUCAUUAUGUAUUUGCAGCUAAGACUACCAAGGCCACACAAGCCAUGCUUUGAAAAACCACUUGCUACCCCCACACACACACGUCUUAACAGAUAUACACAAUUUAUAUGCAUGCAUAUUUAGACCUAUACAUACAUAUGGAUACACAUAUAUGUACUUAUGUGUGUAUAUACAUGUUUAUAUAUAUAUAUACACACACACACACACACACAACUAUACAUAUAUGUAAAAGUGUACAUAUACUUGUGCACAUAUGUAUAUAUACUUAUAAGCAUAUAUAUAUAUAUAUACUCAUGUAUGCAUGUAUAGCUAUAUAUAAAUGUCUAUAUGUAUACAUAUAUAAGAUUUAUAUAUGUGUACAUAUAUAUUUUAUGUAGAUAUACAUAUGUAUAUACAAGUAUAUAUAUAUAUAUAUACACAUAUUUAAUAUAUACAUAUAUGUAUGUAUGUAUAUAUGUAUGUAUGUAUAUGUGUAUAUAUGUGUGUUUGUAUGUAUAUAUAUGCAUGAUGUAUGUACAAAUAUAUAUAUACCUUUCUCCCCUUUUCUCUAGCUUCUCUCUCUCUCUCUAUAUAUAUAUACAUACAUACAUACACACACAUAUACACAUACACUUAUAUACAUACACAUAUACACACAUACAUACACACAUAUAGAUACAUAUAUACAUAUAUAUAUAUGCAUACAUAUACACAUACACAUACAUAUAUACACACACACAUAUACACAUACAUAUAUACAUACAUACAUAUAUAUGCAUACAUAUACAUACACAUAUAUACUUACACAUAGAUACACAAAUCCAAAUACACAUAUCCAUAUAUACAUAUAUAUGAGAGAGGGGAUAUAGAUGUAGAAAAGUAGGUAUUGAUGAAUAGCUAGAAAGAAUGAGAUGGAUUUUUAGGGGAUAGUGAUGUGUGUUGUUGCUAUGGCGAUGGUGAGAAAUUGUGACUUGCUGUGAUUAGUGUUUGCAAACUUUUGUUGCUAAUUUUUAAAAGAUAGUGAUGACGAUGACAAUGAUGAUGGUGUAAAGUAGACAUUUCUGGCAACACUAAACGUUGCGUGGGAGACGGGGGGGUGGGGGGCAAUUUGGUUGCUAAGGAGAGUGUACAGAGCAAGAAAGUGAUGGGGGGGGGCAGUGGUGGUGGUGGUGGUUGUCUUGUUUUAGUCUUUGCUAUACAGCUGCAUGUUCUCCCUAUUUGCAAACCACUCAACCAUGAAGUUGCUCUCCGUCUCUGGAAUUCUCUUCAUGAUGUUUCCUCUUGCUCGCUCUCUCUCUCUCUCUUUUGCAAUCUCUCCCAAUGUACAUUGUUCAAUGUUCACAUACACACACACAUCAUUUACACUCACAUGGUCUCACAUACACACACACCUCUAUCUCCUACCCCGUCUCCCUCCCAUACGAGGGCCCCCCCAGCUAUUUUCCUCCUUUAAGGUCCCUAUUUGUAAACCCAGACCUCCAAUAUCAUUCUCUUAUGUAUUUUACAGUUUUUACUCUUAGUGUUGUUAAAGUUUUUUGAAAUGUUUUUGGCAGAGGGAGAGUAAGUUUAUCUUGGAUAACAGGAGAAAGAGAAGGAGAUUAAAACAACAAAGAAUUUCAUUUAUUUCACCUUUGAUAAUGAUGGGCAUUCUCCUUUUUUUUUUUUUUUUGUCUUAUUUUUUUUUUUCAUUUUCAAUAAAUUUGACCAAAAAUCCAAAAAUGAUUUUGUUUCUCCAUAUUCCAAA